GCUGGCAGCCAUAUCACCCUGUAGCCCACGACUGGUUACCCACUGAAGCUAAGCAGUGUUGAGCUGGUCAGUACCUGGAUGGGAGACCUCCUGGGAAAACUAGGUUGCUGCUGGAA
rnacentral:rRNA from 1 species